rnacentral:ncRNA from 1 species
ACAUCAUCGACAACGCGAUGAGCAAGAAGCCGCAGGUGGUGCAGAUCGACCCCACCGACAAGGCGUUCAAGACCUCGGGCUGUCAGCCCUGGCAGCUGACCCCGGACGCAGCCCUGCCCCCCACCGCAUCGCCCGGCAGCGUGCAGGGCACGCUCGGAAUCCUCAACGGGUUGCUGGGCGGUCAGGGCGGGCAGCA